rnacentral:lncRNA from 1 species
UUUAUUUUGGUUAAUUCAUAUUAAUUUCAUUUUUAAUCCAAAAAAUAUGGGACUUUCACCAAAAAUCUUUAAAUAUUUUUCUGAAUUAAAAUUAUUUUUUGGAUUAAUUUUGAUAUUUUUCGUGAAUUAAAUAUUUUUGUGCAUAUUUUUAAUUGUUUAAAAAUACUUCUGAGUUUUCAAAAAUCAUGGAAUUUUUUGUUUAAGGUCCUUUG